UACGGGGGGGGCGAGCGUUGUUCGGAAUUACUGGGCGUAAAGGGUUUGUAGGUGGUCUGCUAAGUCAGACGUGAAAUCCCUCAGCUUAACUGGGGAACUGCGUCUGAUACUGGCGGACUUGAGGACAGGAGAGGAACGCGGAAUUCCAGGUGUAGCGGUGAAAUGCGUAGAUAUCUGGAGGAACACCGGUGGCGAAGGCGGCGUUCUGGACUGCAACUGACACUGAGAGACGAAAGCCAGGGGAGCAAACGGG
rnacentral:rRNA from 1 species